GUUCUUUGCAGGAACAUGGAUGGAGCUGGAUGCCAUCACCCUUAGCAAACUAACCUAGGAACAGAAAUCCAAAUACCACAUGUUCUCACUUAUAAGUGGGAGCUAAACUAUGCGAACACAUGGACACAUAAAAGGGAAAAACACACACUGGGGCCUACUUGAGGGUGGUGGGUGGGAGGAGGAAGAUCAGAAAAAAUAACUAUUGGGUACUAGGCUUAGUAUCUGGGUAAUGAAAUAAUUAGUACAACAAGUCCCCAUGACAUGAGUUCACUUAUAUAAUAAACCUGCACAUGUACCUCUGAACCUAAAAUAAAAGUUAAAAAAAAAAAAAUCAGCGUUCCUUGAAAAAAAAAAAAAACUGGCUUUUUUUUUUAAAAGGAAAAAAACAACAUCAAAAUUCCAAAAACGAGUAACCUACAAGCAAUAACACAACAAUGACAAAGCCUGUCAACCAUCAAAAAUGUCAGGAAAAUUACAGUUAAAGCAGUGAUGAGCACAGAUUUUCUUUCCCAAGUAUGAUCACUGGAGAGAACUGGAGAGAACUGACAGACUGGGCUGUUUGAACAAGCUGGUGAUUGGGUCAUUUCUCUUUAGCCCUGUCCGGUUGGAUACUUGUCCAUGAUUCGUAGUCUCCUCUCAAAAUACAAUCAUCUCCAUCUCCUCCUCUCUUCAAUUUAUUCCUGUAUGUUAGCUUCACUUCCUGCUUCACCAAGGAAAAAGAAACUAAGAGAAAGGAGCUCACUCAACUUACGUAGUUCUCCUUUCUCUGCUGCCUCAUCAGGGACUCCUUCCCUCAAUUAUUCCCCAGAUCUCAGGUUCCUCAAUCUCGUACCUUUUAAGACUACCCAUCUAGAAGAGAUCGUGAACAGACAUUUCUCAAAAGAGGACAGACAAGCAGCCAAGAAACAUGUGAAAAAAUACUGAACAUCACUGAUCAGCAGAGAAAUACAAAUCAAAACCACAGUAAGAAACCAUCUCAUACCAGUCAGUCUCAUACCAUCAUCAUUAAAACAUCAAAAAAUAAUAAAUUUUGACUAGGUUGCAGAGAAACAGGAAAGCUUCUACACUGUUGGUGGGAAUGUAAAUUGGUUUAGCCACUGUGGACAGCAGUUUGGAUAUUUCUCAAAGAACUAAAAAUAGAACUACCAUUUGACCCAGCAAUUCUCUUACUGGAUGUAUACCCAAAGGAAAAUAAAUUGUUCUAUCAAAAAGACACAUGCGCACGAAUGUUUAUUGCAGCACUAUUCACAAUAGCAAAGAAUGGAAUCAAUCUAUGUGCUCAUCAAUGGCAAAUUGGAUUUAAAAAAAGUGGUACAUAUACAUCAUGGAAUACUAUGCAGUCAUUAAAAAACCCCAAAAUUAUGUCCUUUGCAGCAACAUGGAUGCAGCUGGAGGCCAUUAUCCUAAAUGAAUUAAUGCAGAAACAGAAAACCUAAUACUGCAUUUUCUCACUUAUAAGUAG
rnacentral:lncRNA from 1 species